rnacentral:rRNA from 1 species
UGACGAGUGGCGGACGGGUGAGUAAUGUCUGGGAAACUGCCUGAUGGAGGGGGAUAACUACUGGAAACGGUAGCUAAUACCGCAUAACGUCGCAAGACCAAAGAGGGGGACCUUCGGGCCUCUUGCCAUCGGAUGUGCCCAGAUGGGAUUAGCUAGUAGGUGGGGUAACGGCUCACCUAGGCGACGAUCCCUAGCUGGUCUGAGAGGAUGACCAGCCACACUGGAACUGAGACACGGUCCAGACUCCUACGGGAGGCAGCAGUGGGGAAUAUUGCACAAUGGGCGCAAGCCUGAUGCAGCCAUGCCGCGUGUAUGAAGAAGGCCUUCGGGUUGUAAAGUACUUUCAGCGGGGAGGAAGGGAGUAAAGUUAAUACCUUUGCUCAUUGACGUUACCCGCAGAAGAAGCACCGGCUAACUCCGUGCCAGCAGCCGCGGUAAUACGGAGGGUGCAAGCGUUAAUCGGAAUUACUGGGCGUAAAGCGCACGCAGGCGGUUUGUUAAGUCAGAUG